AACGAACGCUGGCGGCAUGCCUAACACAUGCAAGUCGAACGAGACCUUCGGGUCUAGUGGCGCACGGGUGCGUAACGCGUGGGAACCUGCCCUUAGGUUCGGAAUAACUCCCCGAAAGGGGUGCUAAUACCGGAUAAUGUCUUAGGACCAAAGAUUUAUCGCCUUUGGAUGGGCCCGCGUAGGAUUAGCUAGUUGGUAGGGUAAAAGCCUACCAAGGCGACGAUCCAUAGCUGGUCUGAGAGGAUGAUCAGCCACACUGGGACUGAGACACGGCCCAGACUCCUACGGGAGGCAGCAGUAGGGAAUAUUGGACAAUGGGCGAAAGCCUGAUCCAGCAAUGCCGCGUGAGUGAUGAAGGCCUUAGGGUUGUAAAGCUCUUUUACCCGGGAUGAUAAUGACAGUACCGGGAGAAUAAGCUCCGGCUAACUCCGUG
rnacentral:rRNA from 1 species